GACGAACGCUGGCGGCGUGCUUAACACAUGCAAGUCGAACGGAAAGGCCCUGCUUGCCGGGUACUCGAGUGGCGAACGGGUGAGUAACACGUGGGUGAUCUGCCCUGCACUUCGGGAUAAGCUUGGGAAACUGGGUCUAAUACCGGAUAGGACCGCACUUUAGUGUGUGUGGUGGAAAGUUUUUUCGGUGUAGGAUGAGCUCGCGGCCUAUCAGCUUGUUGGUGGGGUAAUGGCCUACCAAGGCGGCGACGGGUAGCCGGCCUGAGAGGGUGUACGGCCACAUUGGGACUGAGAUACGGCCCAGACUCCUACGGGAGGCAGCAGUGGGGAAUAUUGCACAAUGGGCGCAAGCCUGAUGCAGCGACGCCGCGUGGGGGAUGAAGGCCUUCGGGUUGUAAACUCCUUUCGCUAGGGACGAAGCUUUGUUGUGACGGUACCUAGAUAAGAAGCACCGGCUAACUACGUG
rnacentral:rRNA from 1 species